rnacentral:rRNA from 1 species
AACGAACGCUGGCGGCAUGCCUAACACAUGCAAGUCGAACGCCCCGCAAGGGGAGUGGCGAACGGGUGAGUAACGCGUGGGAACCUACCCAGCAGUUGGGGAUAACCGCGGGAAACUGCGGCUAAUACCGAAUACGUCCUAUGGGAGACAGAUUUAUCGCUGUUGGAGGGGCCCGCGUCGGAUUAGCUAGUUGGUGAGGUAACGGCUCACCAAGGCUUCGAUCCGUAGCUGGUCUGAGAGGAUGAUCAGCCACACUGGGACUUAGACACGGCCCAGACUCCUACGGGAGGCAGCAGUGGGGAAUAUUGGACAAUGGGGGCAACCCUGAUCCAGCAAUGCCGCGUGAGUGAUGAAGGCCUUAGGGUUGUAAAGCUCUUUUGCCGGGGACGAUGAUGACGGUACCCGGAGAAUAAGCCCCGGCUAACUUCGUGCCAGCAGCCGCGGUAA